UGGGGAAUUUUGGACAAUGGGCGAAAGCCUGAUCCAGCAAUGCCGCGUGUGUGAAGAAGGCCUUCGGGUUGUAAAGCACUUUUGUCCGGAAAGAAAUCCUUGGCUCUAAUACAGUCGGGGGAUGACGGUACCGGAAGAAUAAGCACCGGCUAACUACGUGCCAGCAGCCGCGGUAAUACGUAGGGUGCAAGCGUUAAUCGGAAUUACUGGGCGUAAAGCGUGCGCAGGCGGUUUGCUAAGACCGAUGUGAAAUCCCCGGGCUCAACCUGGGAACUGCAUUGGUGACUGGCAGGCUAGAGUAUGGCAGAGGGGGGUAGAAUUCCACGUGUAGCAGUGAAAUGCGUAGAGAUGUGGAGGAAUACCGAUGGCGAAGGCAGCCCCCUGGGCCAAUACUGACGCUCAUGCACGAAAGCGUGGGGAGCAAACAGGAUUAGAUACCCUGGUAGUCCACGCCCUAAACGACGUCAACUAGUUGUUGGGGAUUCAUUUCCUAGUAACGUAGCUAACGCGUGAAGUUGACCGCCUGGGGAGUACGGUCGCAAGAUUAAAACUCAAAUGAAUUGACGGGGUCAUAGCUGUUUCCU
rnacentral:rRNA from 1 species